UACGUAGGGGGCAAGCGUUGUCCGGAAUCAUUGGGCGUAAAGCGCGUGUAGGCGGCUCGGUAAGUCCGCUCUGAAAGUCCAAGGCUCAACCUUUGAAAGCCGAUGGAUACUGCGGAGCUAGAGUACGGAAGAGGCGAGUGGAAUUCCUGGUGUAGCGGUGGAAUGCGCAGAUAUCAGGAGGAACACCAAUAGCGAAGGCAGCUCGCUGGGACGUUAUUGACACUGAGGCGCGAAAGCGUGGGGAGCGAACAGG
rnacentral:rRNA from 1 species